UGCUGAUACUGAUUUGAGCACUUAGUGCAUGC
rnacentral:piRNA from 1 species